rnacentral:rRNA from 1 species
GAUGAACGCUAGCGAUAGGCUUAACACAUGCAAGUCGAGGGGCAGCACAAGGUAGCUUGCUAUCUGGGUGGCGACCGGCGCACGGGUGCGUAACGCGUAUGCAACUUGCCCUAUACAGGAGGAUAACCCGUCGAAAGACGGACUAAUACUGCGUAUGCUCACAACUUGGCAUCAAGUGGUGAGGAAAGAAAUUCGGUAUAGGAUAGGCAUGCGUCCCAUUAGCUUGUUGGUGAGGUAACGGCUCACCAAGGCAACGAUGGGUAGGGGAACUGAGAGGUUUAUCCCCCACACUGGUACUGAGACACGGACCAGACUCCUACGGGAGGCAGCAGUGAGGAAUAUUGGUCAAUGGGCGCGAGCCUGAACCAGCCAAGUCGCGUGAAGGAUGACUGUCUUAUGGAUGGUAAACUUCUUUUAGACGGGAAUAACAAGAGUCACGGGUGACUCCCUGCAUGUACCGUAUGAAUAAGCAUCGGCUAACUCCGUG